rnacentral:tRNA from 1 species
GGGGCUUAGUAGUUGAGCAUCUGCUUGGCAUGCAGGACCUUUCAGGUUCAAUCCUUGGCAUCACCA